UUUACAACAUCCCUUCCACUAUCCUCUGAUUAUGAGCUUCUAUUGGUAUAGGUAAGAUUAAUCUUUCCUCCUAUCCUGACAGUUAUAGCGAACUGAUCUCAACAAUCGUUGAAAUCGUAGAAAAUGGUUAAUUUGAAAGUAAUCCAGGUUUAUUCUGGCCAACAAUUUUCCUAACAUUUUCAAAGGUACUUGCUGCUCCAUCUGCAUAGAUAUCUUCAAUCCUUGCUUCCUUAAUCCUUUAGUUUCUCUGUAAGUGUUCCCUCUCUGAGAGAUUUCUGACCCUCCUAUAUAAAAAAUGAAGUACAGCCUUUGCCCUCUCUGAUCACUGUACAUAUCAUCACACUUCCAAAGAUUUUGGAAAAUGUAUAUUGUGGAAAAAUGGCAUGGAUUUUAGUUUUUUUUGUGCCAAAAGAAGCUUUUAUCUUUUAAUUCUGUAUUCAACAGUCUUUCUGAAAUACCCUCAUAUUUAUUAUUUAUUUAUGUGUUGAAUCCAUCUCCAUGACAGCAGGAAUUUCUAUUUUUUCAUUGUUAAUUCCUCAGUGCCUGGAUGGAUCAUCUAGAAUAGUUUGAAAUUUUUUUCUUGGCUGAUGCCGCAGCUUACUAGGCUAAUCCUCCGCCUGCGGCACCGGCACCCCGGGUUCUAGUCCCAUUUGGGGCGCCGGAUUCUGUCCUGGUUGCUCCUCUUCCAGUCCAGCUCUCUGCUGUGGCCUUGGAGUGCAGUGGAGGAUGGCCCAGGUCCUCAAUCCCUGCACCUGCAUGGGAAACCAGGAGGAAGCACCUGGCUCUUGGCUUCGGAUUGCUGCGCUGGCCGUAGUGGCCACUUGUGGGGUGAACCAACGGAAGGAAGACCUUUCUCUCUGUCUCUCUCUCUCUCUCACUGUCUAACUCUGUCAAAAAAAAAAAAGAAAGAAAAAAUUUCCUAUUGUUUAUAAAUAAAAAAUCCUAAGGUCUACAGAUAAGGCUUAAUGUGCAUAUACUAUACUAAUUUUUAGAGGGUACUCAGUUAAAUAUUAAGUCCCAGUAUUUGUGGGUGCUUUGGGAAAUUCAAGAUAUAUUGUUCCCCCUUUAGGGUAACUUGACUAAAAAAAUUGAAACAUGAAUUCAAAAAUAAAUCAAAAGCAAGACAUUGGAGCAGAAAGUCAAUAGGAGAAAUAGCAACCUCCAGAGAAGUCAUUAAGUGGAAACAAAUACUAUGAUUUCCAACAUAUACAAGAUAAAUAAAAAUAUCUGAAGGAAAAUAGUAUUCUUAACUUGAAGCAUGGAAGAAAGUGAAAGAUUAUCUUUUGGGAGUCAAGGAAAAGGGAGAAAGAAAAAUGAGGAAAUGCCUGAAAGGCACAGACAGCUCUCUGAUAUGGCCUGGGAAAGCAGUGGAGGAUGGCCUGUGUGCUUGGGCCCCUGCACCCAUGUAGUAGACCUGGAAGAAGCUCCUGACUCCUGACUUCAGAUCGGCUCAGGUUUGACUGUUGUGGCCAUUUGGGAAGUGAAUCUGCAGAUGGAAGACCUCUCUCUCUCUCUCUCUCUCUCUUACUCUGCUUUUCAAAUAUAUAAGUAAUCUAAAGAAAAUAUCCUCACCUUUUUUGUUUCUGUCUGCAUAUGUCUGACUUUCUCUCAUUUAUAUAUGAAUAUGUACUAAAUAUUUAAUCACGGAGAACCCUACUGCACAAGGCAACUGGUUACAAGUGGUUCUUCCUAAUGAUUCAGUGACUUUAUGCCCUUAGCCUAUUUAGAAUGAAGAAUAUUGUCAACACUCAGAUGAAAGGUAAAAUUCUCUACCCAGGAAAAUGUGUAUACAUGCACAUACAUAUAAAAUCUUAUAUACAUAUUCAUACAAGUUGCCCAGGGAUUAAGAACUCUUGUUCUGAAUUUGAAUGUCAAAAAGAUUUAUUUCUCAGUUAAAUGCAAUGAGACCUUCUAGCUUGGAAGUCUCAUUGACAAUCAUAUCGCCAGUAAGAUUCAAAGGUCAAGCUGGCGCCAAGGCUCACUAGGCUAAUCCUCUGCCUUGCAGCGCCAGCACACCGGGUUCUAGUCCUGGUCGGUGCGCCGGAUUCUGUCCCAGUUGCCCAUCUUCCAGGCCAGCUCUCUGCUACGGCCCGGGAGUGCAGUGGAGGAUGGCCCAAGUGCUUGGGCCCUGCACCCUAUGGGAGACCAGGAGAAGUACCUGGCUCCUGCCUUUGGAUCAGUGCGGUGCACCGGCCGCAGCGGCCAUUAGAGGGUGAACCAACGGCAAAGGAAGACCUUUCUCUCUGUCUCUCUCUCUCACUGUCCACUCUGCCUGUCAGCAAGAACAACAACAACAAAAGAUUCAAAGGUCAAAAAUAUGGUGGACAAGUAAGAAUAUUAUUUAUGCUCUAAGUUUUCCAAAAGGACCUGAGACCAAGAAAACUGCUUCUUGUGAUGUGCUUUUGAAGGACACUAAAACUGCAAAAUGCACAAAAAUUUGCAUGUCAGUAUGGAGUAUGAAGUCAGAAAGUUAAUGAGAAAAGGGAGCUCCUGUGAGAUGGUAGAAUUGGCACAAUGACUUUAGCAAACACACCCAGAAAUCCAACUACUGAAGUGAAAACAAGGAAUAGGUAGAAAUGAGAGUAUUCCAGGCAAGCACUGAUUCUUAAACUAUCAGUGAAGGAUUGUAUAAAUUCCUCCCAGCAUCAAGAAUAUUCCUGCCUCUUGUUUCUCAUUAUUACAUAGAAAAUUCUUCUUUUCCAGAUGGUUCCAUGGGUAUUUUGUAGUGAAUUUUUUGAGAGUUAACUUUCAAAGCACUACUUUCUCAUGUAAUGAUAUGGGACCCAUAAAUAUGAGAAAAAAGUAACUGCUGGGGAUUAGUUCAAAGACUCAGAUUCCAGAAAAAUUGAGUAAAACAUUAAUAAAAAUAACUUUAAGCAAUCAAAUAAAGCCACACAAAAUACUACUGGUGUUAUAUGCUUAAUUUAAAUGAUCAGAGACCAUCAGUAACUUGUUUUGCUAGGUUAGCUCAUUUUUUUGCAUAUAUCAAAAAAUUCCAUCCAGUCAUUUCAAUGCAUAUAUUUAAAACAUUUUUAUUAAAUCUUCAUAAUGUAAUUUCAUGCUGCAUUGAUACCAAAAAUAUUCAGUCUUCUGCAUGUCAAGAAUUGUAAACUGUGAAAGCAAGAAUAUUAUUAUAGCAUAUGCAUAUGUUUUUGCAUUCAAUAAAAUGGUAGGCAAGACUCAGACAUAACUACUGGAGUAGGCACAAAUCAUAGGGCAGCACUGUGUUGAGGAUGGUCAAAUAAUGGUAUAACAAGUUCUGUAUAUAAUAGGUGUGAUGGUUAAUUUUUUGUGUUAACUUGCUUAGGGCACGGGGCCUCCAGAUACUUGGUCAAACAUUAUUCUGUGUGUUUCUUUGAGGGUGGUUUUGAGUGAAAUUAAAGAACUUAAUUGGUAGACUGACUCAAGCAGAUUGCGCUCCAUUGUGGGUGGGACUCAUGAGAUCGGCUGAAAGCCUAUCAUCUCCUCCUGAAUUUCAAACCUGCCUGACUUCAGAAUGGCACUUUACCGUCAGCUCUGCUGGAACUCCUGCUGGUUCACCAUUCAGAUCGUGAGACUUUUCAGCAUCUGUAAUUGUCUGUAUCG